GGAAAAUGAACAUUUUGAACAACUGAUAAGAUAAUGCCCCCGAUGAUGGCUACAUAAAGCCGAAACGUUCGCCCAAGCAAAAUAGUAGUUUAUUUUUCUGCCACUAUCCAUUGACCGAUCAACCCAAAAACAGAAAGCAACACCUAUCACUAAUAGUUGUGUUGUCGCCUAUGUAAAAUGAAUGUGAGUUUUUUUUCUUUUAAAUGUAAGUAUUGUUUUCUUGGCUUACAAAUUGCUGGACAGGAAGAGAUAGUCUAUUCCCAUGGCCAGCAAGAUCUCCAGACCUAACUGUGCUGGAUUUUUAUCGUUGGUGAAGAUUAAAAGAUAUAGUUUACAAAACUGUUCCAACAAAUCGGGCAAAUAUGAUCGGUCGCAUCACAGAUGCCUUCCAUAGCAUUCCUCAAGCCGAAAUUGAAUGAGCUCUAUUUGGCACUAACCGCAGGGUAGAUGUGUGUGAUGAAUGACGGAAAACAUUUUGAACAUUUGUUAUCUUAAUGUUUAUUUUAGUGCUACAGCAUAGUGUUAUUCCUAGGUAAAUUUAUAUUUUUUUUUUCUCGUUUUAAAGAUAAGUGCCUUCAGCAUUUUUGUUCCAUUGCAUUGCAUUUAAAUAAAUUCUAGAAAUAAGUAAUUUCUAAAUUCGA